AGCAGAUAGAUCUCGAGUCUGCAGUGUAGAGAUACUGGAGCGAGAGUGUAGGUGAUUGUUAGAGAACAACUAGCACUGAGUGUGACCAACAUGAGAAGUCACAUGAAUGUCUGCUCACUCUUAGUGACUUUCUCAAUGCUGCAGUUGUAUGACUGAUCUUUUAACCUGAGAUGAUACUACUACUCACAGUGAGACUGCUAG
rnacentral:lncRNA from 1 species